UCCAUGGAGACACUCAUAGGAUUCCAAUCUAAUCAUCACGAAUACGUCUGCCCCCACAAGACUGCAUCAAAGAACAUGGAGCUUUGGGGGACACAGUACAUCCAAACCGGCACACCCAGCCAGGCGGCCCGAUCCGUGGGAAGCAAAGCCGGCCGUGGAGGGGGAGCUCAACCGUUCCAGAAGCUGAGUCGGCGUGGACAGAACUCAGAGCUGGAGGGGGGUCCCCAGGGUCCCGGAAGUGCCUCCAGCUCCCGAGAAGCACCGUCGGCCCCGUGCUCCGGCCACAACCAGCGGGACUGGAAGCAGGUUUGUAGGACAAACGCCCAGAAUAACAACAGGUGAGGGACGUGCCGAGUGACGUAAGGCGUCCUGACCCGACGGCGACGACGGCACCACAGGGCACCGCCAGACGCUGCAGCAAGAGGCGCAGGCCUUGGGGACGGCAGGCACCGGGGACAGCGCCCUUCACGGAGGACGCCCGGUCACCGACUCAUGGCCUCGUGCUGAGCGGCUGUGGAGGGAGCCGCGGUGUGACCGAGGGGACGGGCGGACUUGGGGGGCCACGCUGGGUGGCCGGGGCGACAGCGAGCCCAGCUUUAUCGCCCCCUCGUCUCCAGCACCCUUGCAGUUGUCCUCAGAUAUGGAUCACGGGUGCUUUCUGGGUUAAAAUGUGAACGCCGUAGAGAACUCGGAUUUCAUGUCACAGAUCAAUCAAGACAGCAGAGGCCACGCACUUGUGGUGCUCGGGCAGCUCAGGGACGGGUCCUUGGCCCCAGGUUCUUCGGGACCCCACCCUCUGCAGCUGGCCGUGGCCCCCUCACCCUGGGCAGACCCUGGAGCCUUGGCUGCUGGCAGCAGAACUGAGUCUGGAGCCGAGGGGCACACGGGGCGCCACGGGAGGAGCAGCCGGCUGCAGAGGCGGGCUCCCCGGGGAUGCCUUCCGUGCCCGGCCCGGCCCCGGCAUUUUAGCAGAAGCUGCUGCCUGGAGCUUCCUGAGGGCGCCGGCCCAGCACCCGCGUCCCUGCUGCGCACCGUGACCCUGCACACGCGGAGGGCAGCUUGUGGGGCUCAGGCUGCACCUUGGGGUGCGUGGCCAGGGCUGCACCCACCCUUCCCUGUCCCUGUUUCUGCUGUCCCACCCAGAGCAGGUGGGUGAACUGAGGCUCCAUGACCCCGGCCCUGCCCCUCAGGAGGCCCCUCCCUGAGGACCUGGAGACCCACCUCACCCCCAGAUGCCACAACGGCCCCAACCCCACAGAGCCUCAGCUUCUCCGCAAACACCGACUCCUGCCGUGUGGUCCCUGCAGCAACGCCUGGGCACGUUCAGCCCAGACCCUCGGAGAAGAGGGACGUGGGGUGCGGCCGGCCUGACACCCGGGUCAGGGGCUGCCAGGAGCCCCCCAGCCUCGCAGAAGUGUCCCCAAGAAAGACUCCCGCGGAAAUGGUGACCCAAUGAGGCUCCUGGCCCUGACACCUAAGCGGCACCUUGGAGAGGCCAAAGAAAGGAGAGGGAGGCUGACACAUCUGAGGAUCCCACAGAGGAGCCGAGAGAACCCCUGGAGGACACAGACGGCGGCUCAGUCCUGGGUAGAGAAACGCGACUUCAGCUGCAGAGAGACACAACUGCAUUCCCGCUGGACCGGCAAGAAUGAAGGGACGAUGGUGUGGGGGGAGCACCCAGCCCCUCACCAAGUCGAUACAACCAUGUUGGCAAACUGGUCACGGGACUCGUGGAGCUGAGUGUCUGCACUUCCUACGACCGAACAAGCUGUAAGCAAGAGAAACAUGGACGUGCACCAAAAUGUUACACAGCAGCAUCACACGUCACCACCCCGAGCUGCAAACAAGCCACACGGCUGCGGGACACUGAUCACGUGCUUCAACUUGGCGGGCCUGGGCUGGGGGACCUGAUCAGCCCCUGGGGAGGGUGGUGGGCACGGGCGACAGCGCCCUCCGCAGCCCCCCGGGCCUGGGAAAGUGAGGCCGGAGGCAGGCC